rnacentral:rRNA from 1 species
AUGGACCAUGAAGCCGGCACAAGCCAAGUUCAUGUCCUGGAUAGGCUUCUGCUUGAUGAAAAUGCAGACCCCACAAACCUGCCGUUUUCACUUCUGCAAGACAUCACAAAUCAUUUCUCUCUUGAUCACCAAAUUGGUAGCGGCGGGUUCGCGGUGGUUUAUAAGGGAGUGGUCGGCAAAUGCAUGGUUGCCGUGAAGAAGCUGUCCAACACGUUUGCUGUUCCCGAGAAUAAAUUCCAUGAAGAGGUUAGAAACCUGAUAAGGGCCAAGCACAAGAAUAUAGUACGGUUUCUGGGAUAUUGCGCUGACAUGCAAGGAAAAAUGGAAGAGUACGAGGGGAAUCUUGUCAUGGCAGAUCAACGGAACUGGUUGCUCUGUUUUGAAUAUGUAUGCAACGGGAGUCUUGAUAAGCACAUUUCCGAUGCAUCUUGUGGACUUAACUGGAGGGAGCGAUAUCAAAUAAUCAGGGGGAUAUGUGAGGGUUUACUUUUUCUCCAUGAGAAGAGAAUUAUUCACUUAGACCUUAAGCCUGCUAACAUAUUGCUAGAUGGUCACAUGGUACCCAGAAUUUGUGAUUUUGGUCUAUCAAGAUGCCUUGAUAAAGGUCAGACCCGUUUAAUUACUAAAAGCCGGUGUGGAACACUGGGAUAUAUGGAUCCAGAGUACCUCAGAUCAGGAAGAACCACAUUUGCGUCAGACAUAUACAGUCUUGGCACUGUAAUCUUGGAGAUACUAACUGGAGUGAAGCGGUAUCUCGAAGAGGAGACCGUAGUUCAAAGUUGGAUGAUUCGGUUGGAGGCAUCAGUGGGGGACAUGCAGUUGGAACAAGUGAGAGUAUGCUAUAAGAUAGGUAUAGAAUGCAUGAACCUGGACCCAAAGAAGAGACCAGUUGCACACCAUAUAAUUGAUAGGCUUGACAAUAUGGCAAGUGCUGACUGUUCAUAUGAAACUGGCACCAACAGUUCAUUAGUUGAGCUGCAUCCGAGUUUAUCAAGUGAACAAUUGGGAGGAAGGCUCGCAACCGAGAGACUCCGCAAAGCGGAUGCCGAGGAACACUCUAAAAUAUUGGAAGAUUCAUCAUGCGGAGCCCAAGAUACAAAGCAAAAGGCAAACCAGCAUAUUGCAAACAUUUUAAACUCUAUCUCAACCGUCUUCAACAAGCUGAACAAUUUGGACAUCUUUAACAGCAAAGCACGCAUGUGUUUCAAUAGAAACUUCAUGCGACAUAGAUUAGAAGAAUCAGCUACUAUAAUGAUCUUUGCAAAGGACGAACUCAAGCCAGUACUCAGGAAUAGCAAUUUGAUUGGGAAAGGUCCUUUUGAUGAAGUUUACAAGGGUGUGGUUGAUAAUGCACAGGUCGCAGUUAGGAAACUAUAUAAUGGUAAUGCCAUAAUGGAUGACCAAUUUGCAAAUGAGAUCAUCAUCUGGUCUCAAGUCAACCACAAAAACAUUGUUAGGCUCAUAGGUUGUUGCCUGGAAAUGGAUACCCUCAUCUUAGUAUACGAGUUUGUACCCCGAGGAAGCCUUCAUGACAUUCUUUACAGCAACAACAAGGUGUCUCUCAGCCUGGAUGUGCGUCUAACUAUUGCUGCAGAAUCAGCACAGGGUCUAGCUUAUCUGCAUUCGCAAGCUUUUAACCAAAUUCUGCAUGGCCGCAUUAAACCAGCGAGUAUACUCUUGGAUGAUUACUUUACACCAAAGAUCUCAGACUUUGACCUGUGGGGGCUGAAUGUGAGAGAUGAGGAUCCAGUGUACAUCGUUGACAUGUCUUAUGCAGAUCCACUAUACAUGCAAACGGGCCUGCUGACCGAGAAAAGUGAUGUCUACAGUUUUGGAGUUGUGAUCUUAGAGCUCAUAAGCAGGAAGGAGGCCUGUCGUUCUGCUAAUAACAGCCUAGCGAGAAGUUUCCUUGAGGUUCACGAAGAAAGGAAGAAAGCAACCGGGCUGUUUGACAAGGAAAUUGCAGUAACAACACGAGAUUUGGAGCUUCUUGACUGUCUUGCAGAGAUUGCAGUGGAAUGUCUUGACCUUGAUGUGGACCAAAGGCCCACGAUGAUAGAACUUGCGGCACGCCUUCUCAUACUGAACCGAUCUCGUAGGUCAAGGGUUGUUCACCAACAAGUUUGA